CGUUGUAAAUACAGGCCCAUUCUGCAUUUUUGACAUUAAAAGUGUUUGUCCCUCUCCUUCUCUGAGAAGCCUCCAGAUUGUUUUCCAGGAGAGGGAAGGAGGACUGAGGCAUGACCCGAGAUCCCAAAACCAACUGGCUUGUGCUAAAUCUUAACGUCAGAGCACCUGGAGGAGUGGGAAGCAGAGAGGCAGAGAUGGGUCGAGGAAGAGGAAUUAUCACACUUCCUUCUGCAUCUGCUCCCAAAGGAUUUCGUGCCUCUAGAUCUCCCCGGGGAUGCCAGGCAAAACCCAGGAUGGUGAUUCAUUCCUAAGAGGAUGGCAAACAACAUCACUUGAUUCUGAAAACACAAAACAACAGAAGCACCCUGGGGGAAUUUCUGAAUGUUCAUUUCCAUAAAAAUUAAAUAUCUAUGCAUCUUAUUUUUUUCGCCCCUUGAGCCCUGGUGGAUCUAAGCAAGAGAG